AAAGCAGUGGUCAGUACUACUGUGAGGUUCAGAAUGAACACGGAUCUAAAAUAUCAGAAACAGUGCUGCUUAGUUUCAAAGGUAUGAUUGAUUGACCGCUCCUAUUUGAUACAACAUUUGUGUCAUAAUAUUAAUGUUAAAAGUAGGAACAGUAAAGAUUGUUUCUUACACAGAGAAUCCAAGUGUUACUCCGUAUGUGAUUGGUGGAGUCGUGGUUGGCGGUGUUGGCUUGACCCUCCUUCUUGUCAUUUUGUUUAUAAGGUGAGUACAUGUACUGUACUAGAGAGCACUGUACCUCAUAUAUACUUUAGUAGAGGUUGUUCUCAUUAUAAGUAUAUUAUAAUUAACUUUUGAUUGAUAGAUAGUAGACAAGAAGCUUUAGUAUAAUUACUUUUCUAAUGUUGCUGUUACUGAUUUUUUUCAGGAGAAAGAGAAGAGGUCCUGUAACUGAAGACCCCAAAACAAAACAGGUAAGUCUCAGAGGCUUCAGCACAUUACUGCAUUCCUCAUUAGCAUUAUACACACUGAUCAGCAAUAACAAUAAAACACUGAAUAUCACUGAUUAUCUGGUUAUACACUAACAUACCUUAUGUCACAGGUUAUAGGACUAAUACUGCAUCCAUUAGAAGUUAAUGAAUGCUGUAUUGACCUGUGGGACAUGUGUGGGGUCCCCUAUAUUAAAUGUGGAUGUGUUUUUUUUCACUCGUCAGUACCACCCACUGUACUGUCCCCUGUAUUAUUUUUUCAAACCUCAGGAAAACAUCUACAGCAGUGUAGAAGCUGGAGCCACAUCAAAUGACCCACCAGCAGAUGCAGCCAAUCAAGAUGAUGGUCUUUAUGCUAGAGUAGAACUCCUCAGACCACAGAAACCCAGAACCGAAGAGUGCUCUGCAGUUUCCCAUGAGGAGGUUCAGUACAGUACCAUCCAGCACCACCAUGUUCAAGAGGCAAAGAAGACUGGAGAAGAAGAUGAUGUUCAGUACGCUAGUGUCAGCUUUUCCUGUACUACUCCGGAUUACAGAUGUUUCCACAUUUAAACAGUAUUAUAAAUGCUUAAACAGUGCCUACUACUGGUGACCUUUGGAACUGUUCAUGUUAGCAGACUUGGGAGGUAGUAGAGCAGCAAUUAGCAAUUAAGAUUAGUAAAAAAUGAUUAUUAAAUGUGUCUAAGAGGUUGUUGGAUUUUUUAAAUGCCUUUUAAUCUAAAUUCUUUUAUAUAUUUUAUGUGUACUGUGUGGAGUAAAAGACAAUUUACAUAGCUGUGGCUCUAGUUCAUUAGCAGAACGGGGGAUUUUGAUCGUACAUCUGAUCAUUAUAAAAAUAUAAUAAAAUAUAUCAAAUAUACUUUUAAUACUUAAUU
rnacentral:lncRNA from 1 species